rnacentral:tRNA from 1 species
UAGCUCAGCUUGGUAGAGCGCCCGCUUUGGGAGCGGGAGGCCGCAGGUUCAAAUCCUG